rnacentral:rRNA from 1 species
UCUCCAAGAUAAGCCAUGCAUGUCUAAGUAUAAGCAAUUAUACCGUGAACUGCGAAUGCUCAUUAAAUCAGUUAUCGUUUAUUUGAUAAUACCUUACUACUUGGAUAACCGUGGUAAUUCUAGAGCUAAUACAUGCUGAAAAUCCCGACUUCGGAAGGGAUGUGUUUAUUAGAUAAAAAACCAAUGCCCUUCGGGGCUUUUUGGUGAUUCAUGAUAACUUUACGGAUCGCAUAGCCUUGCGCUGGCGACGGUUCAUUCAAAUUUCUGCCCUAUCAACUUUCGAUGGUAAGGUAUUGGCUUACCAUGGUUUCAACGGGUAACGGGGAAUUAGGGUUCGAUUCCGGAGAGGGAGCCUGAGAAACGGCUACCACAUCCAAGGAAGGCAGCAGGCGCGCAAAUUACCCAAUCCCGACACGGGGAGGUAGUGACAAUAAAUACUGAUACAGGGCUCUUUUGGGUCUUGUAAUUGGAAUGAGUACAAUUUAAACCUCUUAACGAGGAACAAUUGGAGGGCAAGUCUGGUGCCAGCAGCCGCGGUAAUUCCAGCUCCAAUAGCGUAUAUUAAAGUUGUUGCAGUUAAAAAGCUCGUAGUUGAAACUUGGGCCUGGCUGGCGGGUCCGCCUCACCGCGUGCACUCGUCCGGCCGGGCCUUCCUUCUGAAGAACCUCAUGCCCUUCACUGGGCGUGCUGGGGAAUCAGGACUUUUACUUUGAAAAAAUUAGAGUGUUCAAAGCAGGCCUUUGCUCGAAUACGUUAGCAUGGAAUAAUAAAAUAGGGCGUGCGUUUCUAUUUUGUUGGUUUCUAGAGACGCCGCAAUGAUUAACAGGAACAGUCGGGGGCAUCAGUAUUCAGUUGUCAGAGGUGAAAUUCUUGGAUUUACUGAAGACUAACUACUGCGAAAGCAUUUGCCAAGGAUGUUUUCAUUAAUCAGUGAACGAAAGUUAGGGGAUCGAAGACGAUCAGAUACCGUCGUAGUCUUAACCGUAAACUAUGCCGACUAGGGAUCGGGCGAUGUUCUUUUUCUGACUCGCUCGGCACCUUACGAGAAAUCAAAGUUUUUGGGUUCUGGGGGAUAUGCCAC